AGAGUUUGAUCCUGGCUCAGAACGAACGCUGGCGGCAGGCUUAACACAUGCAAGUCGAACGCUCGUAGCAAUACGGGAGUGGCAGACGGGUGAGUAACGCGUGGGAACAUACCCUCCGGUUCGGAAUAGCUCAGGGAAACUUGGAUUAAUACCGGAUACGGCUGUGAGGCGAAAGAUUUAUCGCCGGAGGAUUGGCCCGCGUUCGAUUAGCUUGUUGGUGAGGUAACGGCUCACCAAGGCGAUGAUCGAUAGCUGGUCUGAGAGGAUGAUCAGCCACAUUGGGACUGAGACACGGCCCAAACUCCUACGGGAGGCAGCAGUGGGGAAUAUUGGACAAUGGGCGCAAGCCUGAUCCAGCCAUGCCGCGUGAGUGAUGACGGCCUUAGGGUUGUAAAGCUCUUUCGCUCGGGACGAUAACGACGGUACCGAGAUAAGAAGCCCCGGCUAACUUCGUGCCAGCAGCCGCGGUAAUACGAAGGGGGCUAGCGUUGUUCGGAAUUACUGGGCGUAAAGCGCGUGUAGGCGGGUCUUUAAGUCAGAGGUGAAAUGCCAAGGCUCAACCUUGGAACUGCCUUUGAUACUGGAGAUCUUGAGUCCGGGAGAGGUGAGUGGAAUUGCGAGUGUAGAGGUGAAAUUCGUAGAUAUUCGCAAGAACACCAGUGGCGAAGGCGGCUCACUGGCCCGGAACUGACGCUGAGACGCGAAAGCGUGGGGAGCAAACAGGAUUAGAUACCCUGGUAGUCCACGCCGUAAACGAUGGAUGCUAGCCGUUGGGGAGCUUGCUCUUCAGUGGCGCAGCUAACGCUUUAAGCAUCCCGCCUGGGGAGUACGGUCGCAAGAUUAAAACUCAAAGGAAUUGACGG
rnacentral:rRNA from 2 species